rnacentral:rRNA from 1 species
CCUACGGGAGGCAGCAGUGAGGAAUAUUGGUCAAUGGCCGGAAGGCUGAACCAGCCAAGCCGCGUGAAGGACGAAGGUGCCAAGCAUUGUAAACUUCUUUUGUCAAGGGACAAAAUCAGGCUCGAGAGCCUGACCGAGGGUACUUGAAGAAAAAGCAUCGGCUAACUCCGUGCCAGCAGCCGCGGUAAUACGGAGGAUGCGAGCGUUAUCCGGAUUUAUUGGGUUUAAAGGGUGCGUAGGCGGACUGUUCAGUCAGCGGUAAAAGCCCGGGGCUCAACCCCGGCGAGCCGUUGAAACGGGCUGUCUUGAGAUGUCGAGAGGUAUGCGGAAUGCGCAGUGUAGCGGUGAAAGGCUUAGAGAUUGCGAAGAACUCCGAAUGCGAAGGCAGCAUACCGGCGGCGAUCUGACGCUGAGGCACGAAAGCGUGGGUAUCGAACAGGAUUAGAUACCCCGGUAGUC